rnacentral:rRNA from 1 species
UACAGAGGGUGCUAGCGUUGUUCGGAAUCAUUGGGCGUAAAGGGCGUGUAGGCGGUUUGUUAAGUCAUGUGUGAAAUCCCUCGGCUCAACCGGGGACGAACGCAUGAAACUGGCAGCUAGAGUACCAAAGAGGGGGUGGAAUUCCCGGUGUAGCGGUGAAAUGCGUAGAUAUCGGAGGAACACCUGUGGCGAAGGCGGCGAUCUGGACGAUGACUGACGCUGAGACGCGAAGCGUGGGAGCAAUCG